rnacentral:rRNA from 1 species
AUUGAACGCUGGCGGCAUGCCUUACACAUGCAAGUCGAACGGUAACAGAUCUUCGGAUGCUGACGAGUGGCGAACGGGGGAGUAAUACAUCGGAACGUGCCUAGUAGUGGGGGAUAACUACUCGAAAGAGUGGCUAAUACCGCAUGAGAUCUACGGAUGAAAGCGGGGGAUCGCAAGACCUUGUGCUACUAGAGCGGCCGAUGGCAGAUUAGGUAGUUGGUGGGAUAAAAGCUUACCAAGCCGACGAUCUGUAGCUGGUCUGAGAGGACGAUCAGCCACACUGGGACUGAGACACGGCCCAGACUCCUACGGGAGGCAGCAGUGGGGAAUUUUGGACAAUGGGCGCAAGCCUGAUCCAGCAAUGCCGCGUGCAGGAUGAAGGCCUUCGGGUUGUAAACUGCUUUUGUACGGAACGAAAAGCCCUGGGUUAAUACCCUGGGGUCAUGACGGUACCGUAAGAAUAAGCACCGGCUAACUACGUGCCAGCCGCCGCUGUAAUAC